GAGAGAGAGAGAGAGAGAGGGAUAUUUAGUUUAGUAUGCUUCUCUCUCUCUCUCUAUAUAUAUAUAUGUAUAUUGAGAAGCAUACUAAACUAAAUAUCCGUCUCUCUUUCUUUCUCU